UACGGAGGGUCCAAGCGUUAUCCGGAAUCAUUGGGUUUAAAGGGUGCGCAGGCGGUAAAGUAAGUCAGUGGUGAAAUCUCUCGGCUCAACCGAGAAACUGCCAUUGAUACUGCUAUACUUGAAUAUAGUUGAAGUAGGCGGAAUGUGACAUGUAGCGGUGAAAUGCUUAGAUAUGUCACAGAACACCGAUAGCGAAGGCAGCUUACUAAACUAAAAUUGACGCUCAUGCACGAAAGCGUGGGGAGCGAACAGGAUUAGAUACCCUGGUAGUCCACGCCGUAAACUAUGAUUACUCGAUAUUGGCGAUAUACGGUCAGUGUCUAAGCGAAAGUGAUAAGUAAUCCACCUGGGGAGUACGGUCGCAAGAUUGAA
rnacentral:rRNA from 1 species